CUACCCUUUAAAUGGGAUAGACACCCUGUUACAUUAUCCAAAAAAAAUGUUUUUCUGUUGACUUUCAGGAAAUUUCAUGACACAGUAGAGAUUUACACAUGUAGGACAGGAACACAGGGAUGAAACAAGCCAGCUCUUUAUUUUCACUAAUGUUCUUUCCUUUUUGCUGCCUUCUCCCAGACUCUCGAGGUGGAGUGAGUCGCAGCAGUAAUAAGUAAG
rnacentral:lncRNA from 1 species